GCCCCUGUGCCGCAGCCUUAAAUGCAGUCGAACGGCAGCGCGGGGCAACCUGGCGGCGAGUGGCGAACGGGUGAGUAAUAUAUCGGAACGUGCCCUGGAGUGGGGGAUAACGCAGCGAAAGUUGCGCUAAUACCGCAUACGAUCUAAGGAUGAAAGCGGGGGAUUCGCAAGAACCUCGUGCUCCUGGAGCGGCCGAUAUCUGAUUAGCUAGUUGGUGGGGUAAAGGCCUACCAAGGCAUCGAUCAGUAGCUGGUCUGAGAGGACGACCAGCCACACUGGAACUGAGACACGGUCCAGACUCCUACGGGAGGCAGCAGUGGGGAAUUUUGGACAAUGGGCGAGAGCCUGAUCCAGCAAUGCCGCGUGAGUGAAGAAGGCCUUCGGGUUGUAAAGCUCUUUUGUCAGGGAAGAAACGGUGAAGGCUAAUAUCCUUUGCUAAUGACGGUACCUGAAGAAUAAGCACCGGCUAACUACGUGCCAGCAGCCGCGGUAAUACGUAGGGUGCAAGCGUUAAUCGGAAUUACUGGGCGUAAAGCGUGCGCAGGCGGUUUUGUAAGUCUGUCGUGAAAUCCCCGGGCUCAACCUGGGAAUUGCGAUGGAGACUGCAAGGCUAGAAUCUGGCAGAGGGGGGUAGAAUUCCACGUGUAGCAGUGAAAUGCGUAGAGAUGUGGAGGAACACCGAUGGCGAAGGCAGCCCCCUGGGUCAAGAUUGACGCUCAUGCACGAAAGCGUGGGGAGCAAACAGGAUUAGAUACCCUGGUAGUCCACGCCCUAAACGAUGUCUACUAGUUGUCGGGUUUUAAUUAACUUGGUAACGCAGCUAACGCGUGAAGUAGACCGCCUGGGGAGUACGGUCGCAAGAUUAAAACUCAAAGGAAUUGACGGGGACCCGCACAAGCGGUGGAUGAUGUGGAUUAAUUCGAUGCAACGCGAAAAACCUUACCUACCCUUGACAUGUACGGGAAGCCACGAGAGAUCGAAGGCGUGCUCGAAGAGAGCCGUAACACAGUGCUGCAUGGCCUGUCGUCAGCUCGUGUCGUGAGAAUGUUGGGUUUAAGUUCCCGCAACGAGCGCCAACUCUUGUCAUUAGUUUGCCUACGAAAGAGCCACCUCCUAAUGAGACUGCCCGGUGAACAAACGGAGAGUGGGAAUGACGUCCAAGUCCUCAUGCCUAUGGUUAGGCUUCCACCACGUCAAUACAUGGUACAAUACCAGAGCUCGCCUAACCUCGUAGGGGAGACCUAAUAUACUUCCGCGA
rnacentral:rRNA from 1 species